rnacentral:rRNA from 1 species
GAUGAACGCUGGCGGCGUGCCUAACACAUGCAAGUCGAGCGAAGCGCUUAAAUUAGCUUUCUUCGGAAUGACGAUUUUUGUGACUGAGCGGCGGACGGGUGAGUAACGCGUGGGUAACCUGCCUCAUACAGGGGGAUAACAGUUAGAAAUGACUGCUAAUACCGCAUAAGACCCCAGCUUCGCAUGAAGCGGUGGGAAAAACUCCGGUGGUAUUAGAUGGACCCGCGUCUGAUUAGCUAGUUGGUAAGGUAACGGCUUACCAAGGCGACGAUCAGUAGCCGACCUGAGAGGGUGACCGGCCACAUUGGGACUGAGACACGGCCCAGACUCCUACGGGAGGCAGCAGUGGGGAAUAUUGCACAAUGGGGGAAACCCUGAUGCAGCGACGCCGCGUGAAGGAUGAAGUAUUUCGGUAUGUAAACUUCUAUCAGCAGGGAAGAAAGUGACGGUACCUGACUAAGAAGCCCCGGCUAACUACGUG